GGAGUUCACAUGGACAGAACGGUUACACAACUGCCCCAUCUUGCGAACACAUUGCCCAUCCCAGAGAAUGGGGGAGCCAGAGCAAUUACCCAGUUGGUGGAAACUGAUCAUGGACAUUUGAUUAUAGUUAUUAAUGGGGACAACGGGAGACAGACCGCUGAGCGGCAGGCUAGCGCUAAGUGAAUGUGUAUGAGAUUCCUGGAGGGGGAUUAAUUUCUGUUUGCUUUUCAUCUCUCAGCUACCAUCUAAAUGUGACACUGAGUCUAAGCCUGGCCUGUCACAGCCUUAUCAGUAUUCAGUGCCUUGCAUGCUGGUCACAUUAUCUCCGCUGGAUGUACCAAACGAGGGGUCUCUUGCUGUGGAGAUCUUUUUCCUCUGAUUCUAAUGCGGGACUAGGGUUAGCUAGUGACCGGCUUUUCAGGGGAGAAACGUACCUUGUAAUGUCAGAAAGACGUUCUUCAAGCAAAUAUUUGCCUCUCUGUGUGUUUCCCACUGGCAUUGAGCACACAGUUCCUAAUCUGGAGGGUGCACAGACUAUCCUCAAGCUUUCAGCUCCAUCAGAGGACGCUGGGCUUUUUCUGCAUCUCAGCUACGAGAGCUCCAGCUCUUCAGGUGGAAAUCAAAGGACAACUUGAAGAAAUCGGUUCUCUCCUUCUACCACGUAAGUCUCAAGGGUCAAACUCAGGUCAUCAGGCUCCAUGUGAGAGCUUCUACUGAACAAGCCAUCUCACUGGUCUGGGGAUUUUUUUUUUCUUUAGCAUAGCUAAGGGAUUGGAGAAACAGCUCAGUGGGUGAACUGCUUGCUGCACAGGUCCCCAGCACCCACAUGAAAAGCCAAGUGUGCGGAUACACGCCAGUGCUCUCGUACACAGAGCAUAGCCGAGUUUGGGAUGAAUGAGGCUAAGGAGUUCUUUGCGGCUUGAGGAGGGAUCUAGCACUCCAUGCUGGUGUGACAUUAAGCUGUAAUGGUGCAGAGCCUGGUGUGUUUGCACCUGACUCAUCCCUCAUCAUAGAUGCUCUCAUAGCAGCCGCAGGACACAGGCAGGCGGCAGGGACAGGAAGGAGAGACAGGUGGGGGGGGGGGAGUGGGAGCAGACUGACUCUGAACCCCGUGGCAAUGCUACAUCAACCAUGUGCUUCCUGUGGCUGUGGCUCAGACUCACCAGUGAGAGCAGGGGAGAGCAGUCACUGGCAGUCUUGGAAAUGCCCACCUUCUAGAGGGAGGGUCUGAGAACCUCCCCCCGCCCCCCCCCCAGAAGCAGAGACUUUAGAACCCAUCUGUCUGGAGGUCACAGGUUCAUGGCAUGUUGUCAAAUUAAACUAUCAUGCAAUCUCAACACGCCCUGG
rnacentral:lncRNA from 1 species